rnacentral:rRNA from 1 species
UACGAGGGGUGCAAACGUCAUUCGGAAUGAUUGGGCGUAAAGGGUGCGUAGGCUGUUUAUCAAGUCAACUGUUAAAUUUCUCAGCUUAACUGGGAGUAUGCGGUAGAAACUGGUGAACUAGAGGAUGGAAGAGAGAAGUAGAAUUCACGGAGUAGCGGUAAAAUGCGUAGAUCUGUGGAAGAACACCGAUGGCGAAGGCAGCUUCUUGGUCCACACCUGACGCUGAAACACGAAAGCGUGGGGAACAAACAGG